AUUGAACGCUGGCGGCAGGCUUAACACAUGCAAGUCGAGCGGAGAUGAGGUGCUUGCACCUUAUCUUAGCGGCGGACGGGUGAGUAAUGCUUAGGAAUCUGCCUAUUAGUGGGGGACAACAUUCCGAAAGGAAUGCUAAUACCGCAUACGUCCUACGGGAGAAAGCAGGGGACCUUCGGACCUUGCGCUAAUAGAUGAGCCUAAGUCGGAUUAGCUAGUUGGUGGGGUAAAGGCCUACCAAGGCGACGAUCUGUAGCGGGUCUGAGAGGAUGGUCCGCCCAGCUGGGCCUGAGAGAAGGCCCGGACACCUACGGGGGGCAGGGGUGGGGAAUGUUGGACAAUGGGGGGGAACCCAGAUCCAGCCAUGCCGCGUGUGUGAAGAAGGCCUUAUGGUUGUAAAGCACUUUAAGCGAGGAGGAGGCUACUGAGACUAAUACUCUUGGAUAGUGGACGUUACUCGCAGAAUAAGCACCGGCUAACUCUGUGCCAGCAGCCGCCGCGGUAA
rnacentral:rRNA from 1 species